UCUAGAUGAUCGCCCAUGGACCUACUGUUGAAAGUAUCUUUUUUCCAUUCACAUUAAUAUCAUAUAAUUGAGUUAACUUACAGAGUUCUUUUUUAUUACCUCCUUAUUAAUCCUCUUUUCUACACAGCAACUUUCAAUCUCAGCUCUUCAAUGCCGAGUCCAUCAAUCCCACGUUCAAAAUCUGUUCCCUACAACAUAUCAGAAACUCAAAAUUCUCCUACAAACUCACUUACAAUACCUCCUUCAGUAAGAUCCUCCAAAUCAGCUGACUCAUUAAAACCAACAUGGCCUAAAAAAGCAAAUGAGCUUAUAUCAAGAAAGGUUGGCUCAUCUUCAAAUAACUCAAAUUUAACAGCUGAUAAUCUCGCGGAAUUCAAUAAAAGAAAUACAAUUCAAGAAGAAAAGAGAUACUCUGCAAGAAGUCCAUAUUAUAAAGGACUUACUGAUUCAUCCAAAGUGAUUAAUCGACAGAAGUUAUUAGCAGAGUUUAGUAGUCCUGGAAAAGAUAGCAUAUCGGCUUCUUCUACAAGUUCAAAUUCUAAAUCCAAUUUAGCCAGCAAGGUAAUGUUGAAGCGCGUGACCAUUUCGUCUAAAAGCUUAAACCGUUUAAGAGAGCAUAUAUUUUUUUAAUUACUUAAUUAUAUUAUGUCUCACCAGGUACAAGAAUGGAGUGCAUCUUACUUUGUACGCAAAGGCAAAGAAGAAAGAACAUCCUCCUCCUUGACUACUUCUACUGGGAACAAGAACAUCCAAGAUUCUUCUUCAUCAGAGACAAAAGAUAAAGGAGUAAUCAGAACGACAAUCGGAGAAGAACUUGGUAUAGAUCGCAAAGGAGUUAGAAGAAGUUCAAGAAAAAGCAGACACAGACUUUCAAAAUCAGAUCAGGGGAAGCCUUUGAGGGAGAGAGCAUCAGAAAUGCAAACAAAUAUAGUAGUACUACCACCACCCCCUGCACCACCAAUAACAUCACCACCAAAAUUGUCAAUACCAUCUCCACCGCCAACUCCAUUAAUAUUGCAAACGUCAUUGCAAGAUGAAGAAAUUGAAGCAGUACCAUUACCAGCUUCACCAACUCAAACUACAGAGGAUGAAAAAGAUACUACAAAGGAGCAGGAUAUUACAAGUCCAGAACAGAAAGACAAAAGAUUUAAAUGGGCUGAUAAGUAUAGGCCUAAUGCUCUUAAAGAUUUUCUAUGCAAUAGAAAUACUGCACUUGAACUGAAGGCUCUGGUAUAUAUGAAAUUAAUCUUGAACAAUCUUUUUCCAAAUUUUCCUUAUUCAUAGCAAAAUACUAAGACACGACACGCUUUUUGGAUUCUAAAAUUUGCAGGCAGAAACAGAUAGCAGUAAUCGUCAUUAUAUAUUUGCAGGACAGCCAGGAGUAGGGAAAAGAACCAUGAUAUUUGCUCUGCUUCGCGAAGUUUUUGGACAUGAUAAAUUACAGGUAUAUAUAGUGUACAUUUAAUUGAUUCUCUUUAAAGCUACAAAAGUAUCAAAAGGUUUAAUCCAGAAAAUAUGUUAAUUUGCCACUUUAGUAAUAAAAAGCUAGACGUGAGUUGUAAAUAUCACGAGUUUAACUUCUAUAUACUACAAGUGCAAACAAACUUUUCAAGUAAUAAGUCACCUUAAAAGUAACUACAAAUAACUAUGCAUGGAAAGUAAGAGUAGUAACCAAAAAAAAAAAAAAUAGGUUGGUUACCUGCUGUAACAUGUUAAAGUACGCUGAUAGUAAAAACAUUUUUUAACAAUGUCAGUGUAUGUAUGUUAAAUCCAAGAAUCGCCGAUAUCAUGUUCUAUCAGAGAAUCGCCGAUAUCAGCACUUAUCAAAUCAUUGACUGAUGAUGGUUUCUUUGCUUUUACAGGCAAGAAAAAAGUGCAAGGUGUUCUACUUAAAGGUAUGAAGACCUUUGUAUUGUGUUCAUAGAUUAUGCAUACAAAGAUCUGAAAAUGUGUUUCAUAUAUAGAGCCCAUUAGAUGUCUAUUAUUGGUGGCAUUUGAACAUAUUGAAAAAGUUUUACCAGUAUACUGCCAUAAUAUAAGUGACGUCUUUUAUUACUAAAAGGAUCUCUGUUUUCCAAGGAUCACAGACCGAGCCUCACAAACGAAAAGUAUCAGCAAAUUGAAAUAAAUGGAGUAAUUUCCAAGUCUUCUAAAGACAUAAAAGUCUAUUCAUUUCAUGUAACAUUCUACUCGUUCAUGAUCACAACACGGGACAAAUGUGCACAAGGCAUCAGACGGCAAGUAUUCAUUUGUAUCCCCUGAAAGUAUGUCUAUGAAAACUAAUAUUGUAGAAAUAAUUUUAAGCAUUCAACUACACCAUCCAAUGACAGACUAUCUUUCGGUCUAGAAUAUGACUGUAAAAGCCACAAAUAUCACUUCAUGUAUUUAUAAAAAGCACAUCUCCAGCUUAUAUAUUUAAAUGGUUUUAACUUAUAACAGUGUAAAAUUUAGACUGGUUAUAGAAAAUUAGACAUUAUUAUCAAUGCACGGAAGUUAAAAUCUUAUUUUUUACAUGUCAAAACAUAGAAGUUUAAAUCAAAUUAAAUCAAGUAGAACAGUGAAAGGACCUUCUCAAAAUGCAAUGCAUUUCAGGGAGAAGCAGUGCCGAGCAUCCAAGUAAAUGUGAAGGAAUCAAAGAAACAUGUUGAGAUCAAUCUCUCUGAAACUAAAGGCUAUGAGAAACAUGUCAUCGUAGAACUAAUCAAUGAGAGAAAGCACAAAGCAUCCAUCAGAUCAGCACCUUGCCAUCCUGAAGACUGUAAAGGUAUUACAAGCUUUUGCAAUUUGUAGUACCCAAAAAUGGACAAGGAAAGCCUUAGAAAUGAUCACUUACUUCAUUUGUAAUGUACACAGCUAUCAUUCUUGGUGAAGCUGACAAGCUAUCAACAGAUGCUUUGCUAUAUACCAAAUGGAUGUUAGAGAGAUAUACAGGUUGUUAUAUGGUCUUCUUUUGCUGCAGUGAUAUCACAAAGCUCCAGCCAAUUAAGUCUAUUUGUAAGGUUGUUCAUCUCCAAAAACCUUCAGAUGACGAGGUGCGUACACAUAGUACCAAUAUGUAUUGGAUUGAAGCUAUAUAUAUAUUAAGAACAUAAAGAUUUUUUACACUAUCAGUAUAAUCUAACAUGUUAUAGUAGGUUACUUAAACUCAUAUAUAAUAUGCAGCUCUCUCUUUCCUUAACUAACUUGAAAAAAGAUUUUCUUGUUGACAGAUUGCAGAUGUCUUGGAAUUCAUAGCAAAACAGGAAGGAAUCGAACUACCACAUAAACUGGCAGCACAGAUUGCUAGUAACUCCAAAAGUAACCUACGUCAAGCAAUUCGCUCUUUUGAAGCUACCUGGCACUUCAAGUAAUGUUCGGCUUUUAUAGAUAAUGAAUUAUGUACACAAUCCUCUAUCAAGAUUGACUGUUUACAAACAGCUUAUUCUUUUCUAUUGUCCACUCACUAACUAUAGCAGAAUGUAUAAUUAUCAGCACUUGCUUGACUGAGAAUCAAGAAAUCAAGACAGGGUGGGAAGAUGACAUUGCAAAGAUUGCUAAAAACAUAAUUGAGGAGCAAAGCUCAGAGCAGUGAGUAUAACUUCACAUCAUCAAAAAGUUACUCUCUCGGUUCCAUUUAUAUGACACACAUUCCCUUUUAGUCUGUUUAAAAAAGGAUAACACCUUUCUAUAUUUGGAAACUCUUUAACUUUAAACUUUCCAUGUUACGCUUAAUGACAUGCUUUUAUAGCCAUAGAAAGAUCAUAACAUUCUUAAGACCACAAGUUCUAAGGGUGCUUUUGGUAUGUGUCAAAAUUAUUUUUUUUACUUAAAUUUUGUGUCCAGUCAAACAUUGUCCUAUAACAUGAAAUGGAUGGACUAGAAGACAUUUCUAUGACUAUGAGGACAUUGUUCACUUCACACUAAGGCUCUUCGACAUCCCAAUUAAGAGUUCCCGGCACUCAUAAUACUAAAAUCAAGAGUUCAUUUCUCUCAGGCUAUACGAUAUCCGUGGGAAACUGCAGAAUUUGAUAGAGCACAACGUGUCUGCUGAGUUCAUCUUUAAGGUAAGAGGUUCUUAGUCCUUAUAACUAUUGCUGGAAAAUAAUUGAAGCUUUUCACUAACUCUUAUUUCUCAUUUUUUACUUCGCUUCGUAUAUGGAAGACUUUGGUAGAAGAACUAAAGAGUAAUUUGGAUGACCAAUUCCACAAGGAAAUUGACACUCUGAAAAUGAAGUACAAUGUAAUGAAUUUUACACAUUUCACUAUUAUAUAGUCAUUCUAUGUUCACCAAUACAUUAAUACAGAAGCAAAUAACUAAACUUCUCUUUCUCUUUUUUUCUCAUUCAGAUAAAUUCAAAGGAUCUGGAACAGGGAAAAAGUGAUAAUGAUGCAGUGAAAAAGAUUGUUCACCAAUUUAUGAAGGUUGAAGGUAUUUGAUGGAAACUGUACUCAUCAUUUUUCCUUAAAAAAAAAAAAGACAAUUCUCUUAAUCUUGCACCAAAUCUUUCAUUAAAGCAUUUGUCGCUCCUAUAAUACUCAUCUACUAUAGUCACCAUAUUUUAAUCUUAUGUGUUAAUUUUUUAUUUAUCUUGUCAUUCUCCUGGAAGAUUGAGUCUUAGAUAUCUUAAUUAUUUGUAUUUAAGUACCGUAAUCUCGUCUAAUCUUACUAUAUCUUGUACCAAUUCAUUUCUUCUCAAGCACCUACCAAAAGACAUUCUUAGUACUCUAUCUUAAUGUCAACACAUAUCAUGUGGAGAUCCUUCUUCAUUUCCCUAUAAUUUCAAUCAAUUUUCUUAGCAAAAAUAUAGUCGUUUGAGGUAGAACUACCUAGCAUGAACCCAAAUUGCCUCUUUUUACCAUCGUAAUGUACCUAAAUCUAUGCUCUAUCACUAUUUUCCAAAGUUCCAUCACAUGAUUUAGUACUCAUAAGUUCAAAAACUAAGAUAGUCCAACAACUUAAUAUGGAGUUGUCGAAUUGAACGCAUUUACUGGGACACACAUAAAAUUAGAGGAUCACAUAUAUAUAUUCACCUAUGGUUAUACUUUCUUGACACUUUGAAUCCCUUUUAUUUUACAUGCUAUACUUGUUUAACCUUGAGGCCAUAUAUAUGGCACUGCAGUGGUAAUUCAGAAAUCAAGUUCAUACCACGUUUCUGAUUUAUGCCACAAAAGUCCAAAUGGAAAAAGAGUUGAGUAUCAAUGUUUCUAAAAGAUUUGACUCUCUUUUUUUUUUACUUUCUUUUUCCCUCUUUUUCACUGCAGAGUUCAUAGCUAAAUUCAUGAGCUGGUAUAAGACUUCUGUUCUGAAGAAAGGAAAUCACAACCCCUCACAAGCCCAUCCCUCCAAGGGAAAUAAUUAGUUUGGAAAAAAUUCCAUUUGAGUGAUAAAGAAUUUCCCAAUCACUUUCUAUGACAAACUUGGUUAAUAACUCCUCGGUAUUUCAGUUGUAAAAUAAAGUGGCAAUCACACUGAAGUCUGAAGCAGACAUUUUAUGUUCUUAAGAUAUAAAACUACGUAAGAUAAAUAAAAAAGGCACUCAAUAAGUGUAUGUUUUCAUUGUUCUGGAAGGGCAGUUCUAUGAGUUAUUCUCCAUCCAUUCUAAUAUUAUUUGACACUAUUUUCUCAUUACAGAAAAAGAAUGUCACCUUGUUAGCUAUUUUUUGCACGGCAGAAGCUUAUUCCCUCGUUGCAAGAAAUCACAGUUGGUGUAUGUAAUCUCAUCUCCUCCUUCACUCAAUGCCCUGUACAUAUUUCACCAACCAAAUAGCAAUUCCAUCAACUACUAUCAAUUGCAGUCAAUGAAUGAAAAAUAACUAAAAUUAUACCCACACGUACCUUUUCUGCUCUGCUGCAACACACGGUUAACUGUAGAUUGACGCAUUUUAUCUGUUUGGAAUAACAUUUUUUGGUUAUUGAGUGGCUUUCUCUUGAUUGAAAAGGAAAAAAAAAGUGGCUUUCUCCGUUAAGUAAAGGGUUAGUGUAUA
rnacentral:lncRNA from 1 species